UACCCAAAAUUAAAAGUGGCAGUCUUACACGAUCUGAUCAUUACUUGCCCCAAACUCAAGGCAAAAGUUUACAAGGUAGUAGUACAUGAUUGAUGAUACAUAAGUUUUGCUCCAUAAAAAAAGGACCGAUUAGAACGCAUGUGAUUUUCACGAGGAAAACCACUUGAUUCGUAUGUACAGAAAAACGGUGGAAACCCCUGUAGACUGACCCGGCAAACAAGCAUCAUCAGUGCAUGGAUACUGGACCAAAAACACCAUAAGAAAUUAAAGAGAACGGAGCAAGCGAGCAAUCAGCCAGCUAGUACUAGUACAUAUAUAUUGUACAGCCGUGAUCUGGUCGGAGAUGAGACGAUGACCCGCCGGCGGCGGCCGGCCGGCGCGGCGGAGGCCCAUCGAUCGAUCACUUGGGCCCCCAAAGCAGCAGGUGCAUCACCUUGUCCGCCUUGCCGCCGCCGUCCGCCGCGCGCCGCCCCGCCGUUGCCGCCGGCGUGGCCGCGGCCGCGGCCGCGCGGGGUACCCGCAGCUGCUGGCCGGCGUCGCGCGCCAGCGCACGCAGCGUCGCCGGGAGCUCCCACCUGCUCUCGCGCCCGCUGCUCAUGGCGAAUCAACCACCGCUUUCUCCUUGGCCCUUCUUGCUAUGCUAUCUAGCUCGUGCUGCUCAUCCUCAGUCCGGUCUCUUCUCUCUCCCAGCCACCUCACCUAGCCUCUUAUACUGCCACUGCACUACUCCUGGUCAUGAGUCACACACAAUUUUACAUUUUAGCCUUUUAUGAACAUUUAUUUUAUAAAUAGAUCUUUAAAAAAAACUUAAUCUUUCCAUCCAGAAAUAUAAUAUGGUACUGAAUAUGACACAUUCCAGCAUCAUGACGAGUUUGGACAGAUAUCUUACAACUAAAAUAUAUCCAAUACUACCUUCAUUCUAAAAUGUAGCUAUUUCUAGCACAGUACUUUGUCCCAAAAUGAAGCUAUUUUUCUACCUACCUUCCCCUCUCAACCAAUCACAACCAUUCUUUUUCACCUACUUUCUCUUUUCAACCAAUCACACACCUUCUUCAAUUAUUCUCACAUACUUUCUUAAUACCCGUGCUAACCUCAAAAAUACUUACAUUUUGGGACGGAGGAAGUAUGAUACAAGAUUGCUAUAUCAUGUAACAGAUGAAAUAUUCUGUCACCGAGCUACAGGUUUGAAUAUAACAAUCUAAAGAUGAGAUACUAGUACUAUAUAGUUAGAAUAGACUCCUUUCCGCUCUCUCGGAGAGACUCAUAGCUCUAGUUCUACAUUUUUAUAAUAUGUAACGAAGAGAUUAAGUCCUUGGUUAGUUUGGGAAAAAUUUUAGAUUUGGUUGGUAUAUUGGAUAUACGGACACAUAUUUAAAGUAUGAAACAUAGUUUAAUAAUAAAACAAAUUACAGAUUUCGUCAGAAAACUGCGAGAUGAAUUCUUUAAGUCUAAUUAAUUCAUCAUUAGCAAAUAUUUACUGUAGCACCACAUUGUCAAAUCAUGGCGCAAUUAGGUUUAAAAGAUUCGUCUCGUAAUUUACACGUAAACUGUGUAAUUGGUUAGUUUUUAUCCACAUUUAAUAAUUCAUGCAUAUAUCUAAAUAUUCAAUGUGAUGGGUGAAAUUUUUUGUUUUGAGAGCUAAAAAGGGCCUAAGUUUUUUAAGGAUUUAUUUAUAAAAUAUGUUUUCAGAAAAUGGCUAGUGUGAAAAGCCCAGUCCUGAGUCACCUCCUGCAAACUGCAAUCAACAGGGGCAAUAAUAGUCAGCAAUAAAUAUCAGCCACCAUGAUUGAUGAACCCCUCCAAAAUCGAGUGGCCGAGAGAUACCCAAAGACGGGAUUUUUAUCCCGCACCCAACGCCUCGGCGCGGGAUCACCACGCGCUUGGCGAUCAGUGCGUACAGCGAUCGCGAUCGCCGGUGCGCGCGGGGGUGUAUAAUUUUCCACGGCGGCGAGGGGAGGGGAGGGGAGGUCGUGGAUGCGGCGAGGCGGGCGGUCGGUGUCGGGAAAGGGGCGUGGAGUAAUGCGCGUGUUUGAAAAACGGGGUCUCUCGACCAAUCCGGAAUGAACCAGUGGUUGGAUUUGGGCUCGUUCUUCCGGUAAAGGGCAUGUUAAGAGAAGUUUUUAACCAGCUGCAGGUUCUCUCGGAUUCUUUAGCUAUCCCAAAUAGUCCGCAUUAUUAUUUGGAUUCAGAUUCUGGUAAUAUAUAAUUGUAAAAUCUAAAAAAAUAAAAUAGAAACUGUAUUAAGCUGAAAAACCAAGUUUCUUCAGGUUAUAAGAAGCUGACUAUCAAACUAAGCUGGCUAUCAAACAGUAGAUUUAAGCUCCCUGAACAGGGUUUUUGUUGUGGUAGGGUUUUUGUUCCAUUGUUUGUUAUAUGUCACAUAAAUAGUUAGAAAAAUAACAAGUUAGAUUCAUACAAGAUAUAUCCGUUUAAAUUCAACUUCUAUAAGUUAUAAUAAAAAAACACAAAUAUAAUUGUGAAUUUACGUUAACUCGUUUGAAUUUAAUAUGUUCUUUUAGUUAUAACUUGAAGAAGUGAAAUUUAAAAUUGCAUUUUGUGAGACGAUAUAUCCCAUAUUAAUUUAUUUUAUAAUUUUUUUCUUAAAUUUUUCAGUGUCCAUUUUGAUGAGAUACAAUAAACAAGCAGAUGUUUGGAGUAGGGGUGGACAUUCGGUCUGACCGAAAAUUUCGGUCUCGGUCUUUGGUCUUUAAAAAGUAAAGAUCAAAUUUCAAUGCAAAAAUAUCAGGACCGACAAAUUCAGUCUCGGUCUCGGUCCUGACCCAAAUUCAACAACACUUUCAUAUACGCAAAGAAGCAAUGGAAAUUUUCAAUACAAAAAUCACAGAAAAAAUGUAAGCACUUAUGAGUAAAUACUCUUAUUAGGUUGUAUGCCUAGAAGAAGUAGGAUGCGAAAAAUAGAGUUUAAUCCUAUUGAACAUAGUGAUUGUAUGUUACAUUUAUACUUUUUUUUUUGUUAAUUCAGUCUUUUUGGUCUAUUCGGUGAGACUAACCGAAUUGACCAAAUAAAAUUCGGUUUUUCACUUUCUAGGAUUGAAUUUUUCGGUCUCGGUCUUUUUGGUUCGGUCUUUUUCUGACCACCGCUACUUGGAGGAUGAAAAUCCAUCUCCCGACACAAGUCCCAGCCAGGACGCACUAAGCACUGGAAACAGCUGUGGGAGCUGGAGUACCUUGUAGUCUCGUCCUUUGCUCUAUGCCUGCGGUGACAAUGUGAGGCUAUGAGCAGUAAGCUGGUGUAAAUAAUUGAGUUAGACAAGUCAAUAGAAAUUAGUAGAAUUAAGUAGUAGGAGUAAUGGUAUGUAUGCUUCCGGUCAUAAGGAUUUAACUUGUAAGAUAAAGGCUAAUCAAACUUUUCGUAAGAUCUUGACCAUUAGUAUUGCCGUAAACCUACUAUACUUACAAACUUUUUAAAACAUAUAAUUGUUGUUUAUAGUGUUUGACAAAAUGUCAUCCUAAACGUCAAAGCAACAACUUGUUUAUUUGGUUGACAAAACAGUCUAAAUGCCCUUCAAAACUUUGACCGAGGGUGCAUGUAGCCUCUUUUCUGGAUAAAUUAACAGGAUCUGCUUAUAUGUAGGAGAGUUCACUGGCCUGUUAGAGCCAAUGUGCUUGAGAUUGUUGAUGUGCUCCGUAUUGAAGAAGUGGUUUCGGAUGGUCCAAAAUGUAACAAAGAAAAACUUAUCUAAUCCAAAUUAAAAAGACUGAGUAAAUAAUAGUUCAAAAUAAAAUUUUAAAAAUAAAAGAUGAUCCAAAGUGUAAUUCGCUAAAAAGAAGAAGAAAUCAAGAGGAGAAGAAGAAAAGUACGUAUAAGAACCGCCAAACCUGGAUGCAUAUCACUACCAUUCAGGUAAUACCGCCUUCCUAACCUAUAUGUGUGUAAGUACGUACGUGCGUAAAAGAAAAGUAGAGAAACGCUCAAGGGUUUUCCGACUAGUUUCACAAGGUGGUGGACUAGACGACCUAGAUUCGAAGCCUUACCCAUUCUAAUUAUUUGACAUUAUGUCCUUCCCUAAUAUUCGACCUGAGUUCAAAGCCUCACAUCUUCUAAUUAUUUGAUAUUAUUAGGUCCUUCUAUAAUAUUCGACCUGGGUUCAAAGCCUCGCUCAUUCUAACUAUUUAAUAUUAGGUUCUUCCGUAAUAUUCGUGAUUUUUAAAAAGAAUAGUACGUUUUGAAGAAGAAGAAGAAGAGAGUAGUACUUAGGAACCACCAACGAUCCCCUCCUAUUCGUCCCUAGACUUCUCUCCUCUUUUUUCUCUCUAUUUAUUUUUAAAAAGUCUCCUCUCCUUUUUAUGGUGUAGUUGGCUCAGCAAUAACCAUAGCUGCUAAACUACAAAUUUAAUUUCUAAUUUAUUUCAAUAAUUGUAUUUCUCAUGAUUAAAUCAAUAAUUUAAGAUUAUGAAAAACAGAAAAUGAACCAACACUAUAGCUGUGUGUACAUCAUCCAAUUAGUCUAAAAAAUUCAAGAUAACUUUGCCAGAGUAGACGGCUAAAUUACCACAAUUCAGGACACAUGUAUGUUUUGAAAAAAAAUAGCUUGUAGAUCUAAUAAUUAGAGAAAUUUUAUAACUUCUAAGGGAAAAAAACAAAUAUUAACCAUUGGUUUUCACUUAAACCGGUGGACCUAUAGUUACCACUAGAUUAUGUAUCUAGGAAACAACCGGCUAAUCCCACCUUCUUAAUCCCAAUCCUGUACGUAAGUACAUAUUUAUGCGUGUAAAAGAAAAGUACAUACUUACGAAGUACUGCCAAACCCCAUUCCCGUGCAAUUCGUUCCGUUUGACUCCCCUGCUUUCUAUACGGCAUAGUUGGCUAGUCGGCUAUUUUCUCGAGUAAGUAUCUUCUUGAGUAGGUAAGAAAUAGCCAACUUUGCCAUAUAGAUAGGAAGGGAGUCAAAGCGAGCGAAUUAUUUGCAUUGGCACGGACUAUGGAUAAAGGCGUCGCGGGGUACACAAGGACGACGACGAACAAAAACGGAUUGUGACGAUCGGAAAAAAUGUGUAUCAUUCAAUUUUAAGAUGAAUUCCAAACUAAAAUUGGUAACUUGCUAAAGAUUCGAUGUAAAUUAUAUAAUACAAGAAAAUAAUAUUAUAUGACUUAACUAGGCUAGAAAAAAACUUAGUACUCUAUACAACAUAAUUUUAUCGUGGUAUUAACAUAUUCGUUAUAGUCAUCCAUGUGAGCGGUUUAAUAUAUACAACUAAAAUUGCCUUUCCCCAUUGCAACACACAAACUUUUUUCCUAGUCUUUUUUUUAUUAAUUUAGUAAAAUUUAUCUGAAAAAUGACUGCAUAUUAGUGUUUUGUAUAUAUAUUAGUGAUUUUAAAUGUUGAGGUUUGAUUUAUGGUACGUCUCAGAUAUACACAAUAUCGUAUUAAAGAGAGGGAUACGUGUGAGAUUACAUAGCUAUAAAUACGAUUUGGACCGUUCACCUACAAACUACUAUACUUCCACUAUUUGAUUGCAUGGCUCGGGAUAAUAAGGUUGAAGGACAACAAAUUGGCCUGUGAAACAACAGUUAAUUUGAGUUAAUUAAUCUUAGUAUUUUUAUUUUUAAAACGAAAUUAAUCUAGAUUUUUUAACCUAUAACAUGGCUAGCUAGUGACCAGCGACAAGCUUGAACGGAGUAUACAACCGCUUAGAGCAGGUACAAUGCUAUAAGCCACCUAUAAACACAUAUCGAGAAGAUAAAUGAUGAUAGAGAAGAUUUUUAUCAGUGAAAUAGUGAAUGACGCUAUGAUUAUACAUGUUAAAAAAAUAUGAAUUAUCAACUUCAAAUUAAAAAAAAAGAGCAUUGCCGAAACAUAAUUAGGAUGUGAGUCAAGGAUGAAAAUGAGUUGGAUUCGGACAACUAAUUGAUGUAUCAUAUUCUAUUCCACAGUAUCUUCAUGGAGAUUUAGACAAGGCACAGAUAAUAGAAGGUGUGAAUGUCCGAAACAUUAGUUUUUUAUAUAUAAGUUUUUUGAAAAACAAAUUAUCUAAUUUCAAGUUUAUAAUAAUUAAUAAUUAAUUAAUGAUACGCUAAUAAUUUGUCUCGUUUCAAGUGUUGGCUAAGAUCAAACCGAUGUCCCGAACGCAGCUUUUAGAUUCUGAACUCACGAGAGUCUUUAGGUUAAAAGUCAUGCUGUGGAGCUAUAGCCUAAACAAUAUCGCUAAAUAUCUUUUUUUUAAAAAAUAAUAUAUCCUACAAAUUCUCAAUCACCAAGUAUCCUACAAAAAAUCAAAAUGGUUCUACACUGAAACUGCAUUUUUCUACGUACCCUCACAUAACUGUGGUAAAAACAAAUUGAGAACAUAAAAUACCACACAAUCUACAUUCACACCAUAUGCCCUGAUACUUUUUGAACUUUGUUUUGGAAGCACUCUACUACUCGUCUACUGCAAAAGAUAAAGAAAGAAAAACAAAUAUAGCCUAGCCACAUAUGCUGAACUCAACUCACGUUAAAAACUAAAACAUUUGUCUUUUUCGUUUACCUAGAUUAUGUUUAAAUAUAAUUCUUGGUGGAAUAGUACAUGAUAGUAUAUUUACGUAAAACUCUAUUAUAAUUUUUCACGAUUAUCUUUACUACUUUAACCUCUCCUAUUAUCCAUAAAAAAAGAACCGGCACACUCAAAGGAGUGAAAAAUAUUAUUCUACAUCUUAUUGUAACGUAAGGAUAUGGUAUUAGUUUACAUUAGACCUUAUUCGUUCAAUCAAAAAAAAAUACCGAGGAUGAAAUUUUCACAUCAUAUAUGUGAAAUAAAUUCUACUUUCUUCAUUCUAAAAUGUUGCAAUAUAGAACGUGAUUUAAUGAUAAUAAAUCUGAAACAGGUUACUUCCUCCAUUCUAAAAUAUAAUAACUUUAAAAAACGGAACACAUUAUAAUACUCCAUCCGUCCCAAAAUAAGUGCAGCUAUGGUUUUCCGCGUCCAAUUUUGAUCGUUCGUCUUAUUUGAAAAAAUUUUGAAAAAAAAUUAAAAACAUAAGUCACGAGCAAAGUACUAUUCAUGUUUUAUCAUCUCAUAGCAAUAAAAAUGCUAAUUAUAAAAAAAAUUUAAAUAAGACGGAUGAUCAAAGUUAAGAGUGAAAACUCAUGACUGCACUUAUUUUGGGACGGAGGUAGUACUAGAGGUCACCCCGCGCGUUGCUGGGGAAAUUUAAGCAAUUACAAAUGUCAAAAUUUUGGAUGAAAUAUAAUCACCUUAAAAGGAAAAACCUAACCCAAUUUAUCACUGCGCGUGAGGAAUAUUUGUACAAAUAAAAAUAAUCUUCAACCGUACCAAGUUCAUAGCCUGCAAAUAAUAUUUUUCAAACGUAUGGCUUCGAUAUUGGUACCAUUAAUUGGAGGGAAACUCAACUGGCACUCCCUUCCACUCAUAUUAUACAAAACAAAUUAAGGGAAUAAGUAACAACAAAUUGCUAAAAGAAAUGUUGAUCCGCUGGAGCAUGAGCAUAUAUAUAGCGGCAAAAUAAACGCAGCAGCAUGGCUAACGGAAUGAAGGAUUGAUCGCAACGAUCAAGUAUAGCAACUGGACUCUGGACAGGAGGGCUUGUGGUCAGCAUGUCAAUCCACUGCGAUGGUGUUUUCAGAGGAAUCAGGAAUAAAGGCCGAGUAUUCACCUAAUUCAUUUAGCUAGAGGAUGGAAUAUAUGCAGUGCAAGUGCAGUGGAAGAUGGAAGGCCUGCUGCGUGAGCCAAUGAAUGAAUAUCCAACGUUUUGGUUUCAAUCAGGAGAUGACCCGUCAGGAACAAACGGUUUAACUGUUGAAUAGGCCCCUUUGUUAAUUACUGUCGUGCAUGAUGAUCGGAAUUAAAAAAAAAACGAAGAGGUGCAUCCCACUAUCGCUCUUUACACCCUCAUUUGCAAUCUAGCGGCUAGGUGGAAUCUAUCUGCAAUCCAACGGUCAGGUGGAAUAGAGGUGAUGUGGAUCACUCCUGGAGAAGGAAAUUAGUUUUAAUUGUAGUUAGUGGGAUGACCUAUAUAGAUAUAUAUAUAUAUAGGAUACUGUUCUUAUUCGCAAUAUUAAAAUAUAUUUCAAUUAUUUAAAAAUUGUUUAUAUUUCUGGACAGACGAAAACAAACAAUAAUCCCCGUGUCCUCGCAGUGAGGCUCGCACCGCCCAGCAUCCUUGGAAACAGAGUGAGCGUCCAAAACCGGCGGCGACGCGCUCCCCGUUUCGCCGCUUUCCGCUCAUCUCGCGUAUAAAAACAUGGCGUCUCCCCUGACCACCACGCCUCCACCACCUCCGCAUCACUAGCAAGCGCAAGCGCCGCGCACUGUGACCGAGCGGAGGCGGAGGCGGAGUAGCCGGGUCGGGAACUCGGGAUGGCGAUCUGCGGGGCGAAGGCGGCGGCGCCGUCGCUGGUGGUGGCGGCGAGCAUGGGCGCCGUCGAGGCGCUCAAGGACCAGGCGGGCCUCUGCCGCUGGGACUACGCCCUCCGCUCCCUCUACCUCCGCGCCGCCGCCUCCUCGCCCAGGCUGCGUUCCCCCCUCUCCAACACCGCCGCCGCCGCCGC
rnacentral:lncRNA from 1 species